rnacentral:rRNA from 1 species
UGGGGAAUUUUGGACAAUGGGCGAAAGCCUGAUCCAGCAAUGCCGCGUGUGUGAAGAAGGCCUUCGGGUUGUAAAGCACUUUUGUCCGGAAAGAAAUGGCUCUGGUUAAUACCUGGGGUCGAUGACGGUACCGGAAGAAUAAGGACCGGCUAACUACGUGCCAGCAGCCGCGGUAAUACGUAGGGUCCAAGCGUUAAUCGGAAUUACUGGGCGUAAAGCGUGCGCAGGCGGUUGUGCAAGACCGAUGUGAAAUCCCCGAGCUUAACUUGGGAAUUGCAUUGGUGACUGCACGGCUAGAGUGUGUCAGAGGGGGGUAGAAUUCCACGUGUAGCAGUGAAAUGCGUAGAGAUGUGGAGGAAUACCGAUGGCGAAGGCAGCCCCCUGGGAUAACACUGACGCUCAUGCACGAAAGGCGUGGGGAGCAAACAGGAUUAGAUACCCUGGUAGUCCACGCCCUAAACGAUGUCAACUAGUUGUUGGGGAUUCAUUUCCUUAGUAACGUAGC